UACAGAGGUCUCAAGCGUUGUUCGGAUUCAUUGGGCGUAAAGGGUGCGUAGGUGGCGUGGUAAGUCGGGUGUGAAAUUUCGGAGCUUAACUCCGAAACUGCAUUCGAUACUGCUGUGCUUGAGGACUGGAGAGGAGACUGGAAUUUACGGUGUAGCAGUGAAAUGCGUAGAUAUCGUAAGGAAGACCAGUGGCGAAGGCGGAUCUCUGGACAGUUCCUGACGCUGAGGCACGAAGGCCAGGGGAGCAAACGGG
rnacentral:rRNA from 1 species